rnacentral:rRNA from 1 species
UGCGUAGGCGGAUAAUUAAGUCAGAUGUGAAAUACCAGGGCUCAACCCUGGGGCUGCAUUUGAUACUGGUUAUCUAGAGUGCAGGAGAGGAGAGCGGUAUUCCUAGUGUAGCGGUGAAAUGCGUAGAGAUUAGGAAGAACACCAGUGGCGAAGGCGGCUCUCUGGACUGUAACUGACGCUGAGGAACGAAAGCGUGGGGAGCAAACA